GACGUAGGAUGCAAGCGUUGUCCGGAUUUAUUGGGCGUAAAGAGUUCGUAGGCUGUUUGUUAAGUCUGAUGUUAAAGACUGGGGCUCAACCUCGGAAAUGCAUUGGAUACUGGCAGACUGGAGUGCAGUAGAGGCUAGUGGAAUUCCCAGUGUAGCGGUGAAAUGCGUAGAUAUUGGGAAGAACACCGGUGGCGAAGGCGGCCUGCUGGGCAGUAGCUGACGCUGAUGCGCGACAGCGUGGGGAGCAAACAGG
rnacentral:rRNA from 1 species